rnacentral:sRNA from 2 species
GGGCAGUCAUCGCCGAGUCCCCGUCAGGCGCGAGCCUGGGGAGCCGGGGACCCACGCAGUCCCUGGGGUGAAUCGGAGUCCCGAGCCGCGAACCGGCGGCGCGGGGAUCCGUAGGAGACCUUCCUGCUCCGAACCCGUCAGCUAACCCGGUAGGCGAGAAGGAAGGAAAG